rnacentral:rRNA from 1 species
GUCCAUGCCGUAAACGGUGGGCACUAGGUGUGGGGACUUUCAACGGUUUCCGUGCCGAAGCUAACGCAUUAAGUGCCCCGCCUGGGGAGUACGGCCGCAAGGCUAAAACUCAAAGGAAUUGACGGGGGCCCGCACAAGCGGCGGAGCAUGUUGCUUAAUUCGAGGCAACGCGAAGAACCUUACCUGGGUUUGACAUGUACCGAAAAGCCAUAGAGAUAUGGUGUCCUUCGGGCGGUACGACAGGUGGUGCAUGGCUGUCGU